rnacentral:rRNA from 1 species
CCUACGGGAGGCAGCAGUGAGGAAUAUUGGUCAAUGGGCGCUAGCCUGAACCAGCCAAGUAGCGUGAAGGAUGACUGCCCUACGGGUUGUAAACUUCUUUUAUAUGGGAAUAAAGCGCAGUAUGUAUACUGCUUUGCAUGUACCUUAUGAAUAAGGACCGGCUAACUCCGUGCCAGCAGCCGCGGUAAUACGGAGGAUCCGAGCGUUAUCCGGAUUUAUUGGGUUUAAAGGGAGCGUAGGCGGGUUGUUAAGUCAGUUGUGAAAUUUUGCGGCUCAACCGGACAAUUGCAGUUGAUACUGGCAUCCUUGAGUACAGGAAAGGUAGGCGGAAUUCGUGGUGUAGCGGUGAAAUGCUUAGAUAUGACGAAGAACUCCGAUUGCGAAGGCAGCCUGCUGGAGUGUAACUGACGCUGAUGCUCGAAAGUGUGGGUAUCGAACAGGAUUAGAUACCCUUGUAGUC